rnacentral:rRNA from 1 species
CCUACGGGAGGCAGCAGUGGGGAAUAUUGCACAAUGGGGGGAACCCUGAUGCAGCGACGCCGCGUGAGUGAAGAAGUAUUUCGGUAUGUAAAGCUCUAUCAGCAGGGAAGAAAAUGACGGUACCUGACUAAGAAGCCCCGGCUAACUACGUGCCAGCAGCCGCGGUAAUACGUAGGGGGCAAGCGUUAUCCUGAUUUACUGGGUGUAAAGGGAGCGUAGACGGCAGCACAAGUCUGGAGUGAAAUGCCGGGGCUUAACCCCGGAACUGCUUUGGAAACUGUGCAGCUAGAGUGCAGGAGAGGUAAGUGGAAUUCCUAGUGUAGCGGUGAAAUGCGUAGAUAUUAGGAGGAACACCAGUGGCGAAGGCGGCUUACUGGACUGUAACUGACGUUGAGGCUCGAAAGCGUGGGGAGCAAACAGGAUUAGAUACCCUUGUAGUC